UGCAGAGAAGAUAUUCAAGUUUUCUCAUGAGUUCACUUACUACAGAGAAAGAUGGUUCCUAUUUUUUACGUGCUAAGAAUGCAAAGCUAAAGACUAUCUUUUAAAUAAUGAAAAUGAUCAAUCUUAUAAAUUGAAUUAUCACAUAAUUUAUACUAUAAUGUUCAUCUAUUGUAGGUGUAAACAUCUUAAGGGCUUUUAUCCAAGGUAGAUGAGGCCAGAAGCUAUAAAGACUUUUAUGGAAGACAAAGUUUACUCAGAGUGUUAAAGAUUGAAUUUGUGAUCUGCAUUCCAUUCAUGCGGGACAUCCUUUGCCUAAUGGAUGAAAGGUGAUCCCUCCCCCUGCUGCUCCUCUACCAUAUUAUGAUGCCGCAGGCAACCCUCACUAGCCCUAUGCUCUUGGACUUCCUACCUACUGACAUCACCUCAACUCCUCAGCUCCUGGUGAGACCUAUUCUACUCUACUUCUGUUCACAGAAAAAGUGGCCGUGGUGGCAUGGGUGGAGGUUAUGCACAAGCCCCAAAACAUGGACUUCCAUUCACCAGGGCCAACUUGGCUGUAGACACCGCUGAGUAACCAGU
rnacentral:lncRNA from 1 species